UCCCACAUGAAUCUGGUCAUACAAUCUUGG
rnacentral:piRNA from 1 species